rnacentral:rRNA from 1 species
AUUGAACGCUGGCGGCAGGCCUAACACAUGCAAGUCGAACGGUAGCACAGAGGAGCUUGCUCCUUGGGUGACGAGUGGCGGACGGGUGAGUAAUGUCUGGGAAACUGCCUGAUGGAGGGGGAUAACUACUGGAAACGGUAGCUAAUACCGCAUAACGUCGCAAGACCAAAGUGGGGGACCUUCGGGCCUCACACCAUCGGAUGUGCCCGGAUGGGAUUAGCUAGUAGGUGGGGUAAUGGCUCACCUAGGCGACGAUCCCUAGCUGGUCUGAGGGGAUAAGCGGGCACACAGGGACUGAAACAGGGUCCAGGCUCCUACGGGAGGCAGCAAUGGGGAAUAUUGCACUAGGGGCGCAAGCCUUAUGCGGCCAUGCCGCGUGUAUGGAGGAGUACUUCGGGUUGUAAAGUACUUUCAGCGGGGAGGAAGGCAGUGAGGUUAAUAACCUCGCCGAUUGACGUUACCCGCAGAAGAAGCACCGGCUAACUCCGUGCCAGCAGCCGCAGUAA